rnacentral:misc_RNA from 1 species
GGACUUAGGAGCCCAGUUGCUACACCCUUUUUAGGGAAAAUUGUUUUUGCCAAACUUGCAGAUAAGAAAGUUAGCAAAAGCCCACCACCUACAUCAUAACCCUUUCAAGGGUUUCUAGAGAUUUGAAAGAAACCUCAAAACAAACAAACAGACUAUGCAGUUGCCCUACUUUAUCACUCUUUUCUCCUUCCCUAUGUACCCUAUCAUCAUAUAGAUAUCGUCCCUGUCAUUCUCCAUAUUCCAUUAAAUUUGAUUCCGUCUCCCA